AUACGGGGGGGCAAGCGUUGUUCGGAAUUACUGGGCGUAAAGGGCGCGUAGGCGGCUGAGCAGGUCCGGUGUGAAAUCCCUCGGCUCAACUGAGGAAUUGCGCUGGAAACCGCUUGGCUCGAGUACAGGAGAGGAGGGCGGAAUUCCCGGUGUAGCGGUGAAAUGCGUAGAUAUCGGGAAGAACACCGGUGGCGAAGGCGGCUCUCUGGACUGUAACUGACGCUGAGGCGCGAAAGCGUGGGGAGC
rnacentral:rRNA from 1 species